AGCCCUGUGGUGUAGCGGCCAAUCAUAGCGGCCUUUGGACGUGUUCGGUUACGGCCGUGCGCGGAAGCCAGCCGUUGACGGCGGUUCGAAUCCGCCCAGGGCUA
rnacentral:tRNA from 1 species